rnacentral:hammerhead_ribozyme from 1 species
AUCCAGAUGACAAGUCAAAAAUAGAACGAAAUGCGCAUCCUGGAU